UAACGCGUGGGUAACCUGCCUUGUACAGGGGGAUAGCAGUUAGAAAUGACUGAUAAUACCGCAUAAGCGCACGAGAUCGCAUGGUUUCGUGUGAAAAACUGAGGUGGUACAAGAUGGACCCGCGUCUGAUUAGCUAGUUGGUGAGGUAAAGGCUCACCAAGGCGACGAUCGGUAGCUGGUCUGAGAGGACGACCAGCCACACUGGGACUGAGACACGGCCCAG
rnacentral:rRNA from 1 species